AUGAGUAAUAGAACUUGGAAGUAUUAAGACUGUAUAGAAAACCCUCUACUUAUAUUAAUAAAGUAAUUCUCCACCACCUGAGAAACUCAACAUUAAUGAUGCCAGUUACUCGGGUCCAAUAGCCCACAGUGUCUCUACAUCCUAGCCACCUGGUCUCAUCCUGUUACCACAACCUAAUGGAACUGACGAUGGUGGUGUCAACAAAUCAAACUGCCUACCAACCAUAACAUAUUUAAAACCUGUGUAAUCUUGCUCUGUCGCUGAGAAGAUAUUCUAAGAGGACUUUUAAAAACAUAAAGCCUUUUCUCUCUUCUCUGGGAAGGUUUGGGCUAACUGAGGAUGAGACAAACACCACAUGAAAUAAUGAACAAAAUUACGAGAGAUUUAUAAUUAAGCGCUAAAUUAUGAACUACAUUCUAUUCAGAGGAAAGUGAUAUAUGCUAUCAGCUCCCUCUGAGCUGUCAGCACAGAGCCAGACGUGGGGCUCGAAUUUAUGAACCGCGAGAUCGUGACCUGAGCCGAAGUCAGAUGCUAACUGACUGAGCCACCCAGGCGCCCCAAAGAUAUUAAUUUUUAUUGAGCAUCUACUACCAAACCACCAUCCUAAGAAGUAUUGUCCCAUUUUCCAGGGAAGGGAAAGGAAUUUCCUCAAGUCACACAUUUACUUAUGGGGCCGACCCAGGGCAUGAACUCAGGAGAGACUGUCUCAGUGGGGGCGCUCUGGGAAGGCACAGCAGAAGCUAAGACUGUAAGGCACACGGGGACUGGUUUGGACAGGCUGACGGAUGUGGCAGAGCAGGGAGAGUCACAUGAGGAAAACCAGGAAGGCAGAACUUGGCACAAGUUGUUAGUUAUGCCAGAGAGGAGACAUUCUGACUGGAGACUUUCAGUUCGCCCACCACUGCUGGGUGUUUUAAGCAUUUCAGUUUGGCAGUAAACAUAAAAAGUUUAGUUACAGAGGCGUAAGCCUGGAAUACUCAGUGACGGGCUCACUGCCAUGAAUAAUUGUGACAAAACAACAGCUGUUACGAGAUCAUGAGGCAGCGAGCCCCACCUCAGUACACUUGUGUCCCACCUAAGGACUUUCCAAAGUUCGGGGAAACCAGGCCAGCUGAGCGUUCAAAUCGCCACUCCCAUCACACUCCAGGUACCUCAAAGAAAGUUGAAAGAAGGUGAUUCAAAUUGCCAGGAAGAGUUUGGGAACAUCCACACUGCCUAUCAGUUUUUUAAAACAACAUUUUUUAAAAGGCAUAAUCUAUCCACGGAACAAGACUACGUCAGCACCACAAAUAAUCAAGGACAAAUCACACACAACGAAGGAAGUGCUCAUCACUGCUGCCCGUUUUGUGCACACAAGACAGUCCCUGUCUCUCAACUAGGAACGUCAGCCACUUUAGGCUUUUGAAUGUUGGUCUUUCUCCUGUUGUCUUCUACCUACUGACUUUUCAAUCAGCUCUCCUCCUGUGGCCGGAUCCAUUUCAUGGCAUAUCACUCCCACCUCAGAAGACUGGGUCACAGAAGUGAUUUCAGGACUCAUAAGUGAGCAGAAGACUCAAGCUCAAAUAUUAGCUGAGUGACUGAAUAAUUACUAUAGGUAUGGUCCUCUGGACAAGCAAUCUGCCUAAUAUCUCAGGGAAGGAAAGGCCACAGAACUGCAAGCUGUAAGAGAGAUUACCUACACUAACCAAAUUAGGUUCUGACUGAGGAGGGUAAAGGAGUUCAGCAGAGCGAAAGAGAUCAACUACCUCCAUUUUGACCUCCAUCUGUACUUGGUAAGUGAUUAAGUUCUUCUUUCCAGCUUGACUCUUAACUCUGGCAAAAGACCCUGCAGGCAAAGCAUUUUCUAAUGGGAACUGAAACUAUCCCCUCAAGCAAUAAGGACUGCCCUGAGCCAGCAAGACUUGGGCCGUGACAGUGAUCAACCAGACCUUUACUGCCCACCCAUGCAUGUACCCACUGACUUUUGUCCCACAUUUUCCUCAUAUAAACCUUGGGAGUAUUUUCAGCACUUUGGAGACAGUCUUUGAGAUGCAUGAGUCCCCUGUCUUCUCAGUGUUGGCCUCACUGAAAUAAAUUCCUGUCUUGUUUCACCACCA